rnacentral:rRNA from 1 species
CCUACGGGACGCACCAGAGGGGAAUAUUGCACAAUGGGCGCAAGCCUGAUGCAGCCAUGCCGCGUGUGUGAAGAAGGCCUUCGGGUUGUAAAGCACUUUCAGCGGGGAGGAAGGCGUUAAGGUUAAUAACCUCAUCGAUUGACGUUACCCGCAGAAGAAGCACCGGCUAACUCCGUGCCAGCAGCCGCGGUAAUACGGAGGGUGCAAGCGUUAAUCGGAAUUACUGGGCGUAAAGCGCACGCAGGCGGUCUGCCAAGUCGGAUGUGAAAUCCCCGGGCUCAACCUGGGAACUGCAUUCGAAACUGGCAGGCUAGAGUCUUGUAGAGGGGGGUAGAAUUCCAGGUGUAGCGGUGAAAUGCGUAGAGAUCUGGAGGAAUACCGGUGGCGAAGGCGGCCCCCUGGACAAAGACUGACGCUCAGGUGCGAAAGCGUGGGGAGCAAACAGGAUUAGAUACCCGCGUAGUC